GAAGAGUGUACCCGUGUCGGCAAUGGCAACGCGAUCAGGAGUAACAGCCUAGAGUUAGCUGCCUCCAGUAACCCGAUUUUAAUCGCCCGUUAAAUACCCUUUUUGCCUUUUCCAGAAUGUCAUGAAAAUGGAAUCAGACCGUAUGUAGCCUUUUGAGGAUAGAGGAUCUCCCCCACCACCCCAACUCCAGUGAGCUUUCAGAUGAGAUUGUAGCCCCAGAUGACAAUAUGGAGUCUUGCCCUGUUGCCCAGGCUGGAGUGCGGUGGUGCCAUCUCGGCUCAUUGCAACCUCUGCCUCCCAGGUUCAAGCGAUUCUCCUGCCUCACCCUCCCGAGUAGCUGGGAUUACAGGGGCCAUUAUUUCCAAUCAACAGAGAAAAAGAUGGAGGCCUAGACAGGUUGAAUAAGUUGUCUAAGAUUUCACAGAGAAGACUCUUCGGUAUUCCACCAUGGGAUGGUAAAGAUCUGGCUGCCAGGAUUCAGUAAGAAAAGGAGGAUUCUGGCUUUCUUAUCCAUCAUGU
rnacentral:lncRNA from 1 species